AUGGCCUUGCUGUGCUACAACUGGGGCUGCGGUCAGCGCUUCGAUCCUGAGACCGAUUCCGAUGAUGCUUGCACAUACCACCCAGGUGUUCCAGUCUUUUAUGAUGCAUUAAAGGGUUGGUCUUGCUGUAAGAGAAAAACAACGGAUUUUUCUGAUUUCUUAAGCAUUGUAGGCUGUACCAAAGGUAGACAUAAUAGUGAGAAGCCACCUGAGCCAGUCAAACCUGAAGUCAAGACUACUGAGAAGAAGGAACUAUCUGAAUUGAAACCCAAAUUUCAGGAACACAUAAUUCAAGCCCCUAAGCCAGUAGAAGCAAUAAAAAUGCCAAGCCCAGAUGAACCAAUGACAAAUUUGGAAUUAAAAAUAUCUGCCUCUCUAAAACAAGCUCUUGAUAAACUGUCAUCAGGGAAUGAAGAAGAAAGAAGAAGACAAUGAUGAAAUUAAGACUGGGACCUCAUGUAAGAAUAGAGGGUGUUCAAAGACAUAUUGGGGUCUAGAAAGUCUAGAAGAAGUCUGUGUAUAUCAUUCUGGAGUACCUAUUUUCCAUGAGGGAAUGAAAUACCUAAGCUGUUGUAGAAGAAAAACUUCUGAUUUUAAUACAUUCUUAGCCCAAGAGGGCUGUACAACAGGGAAACACAUGUGGACUAAAAAGGAUGCUGGGGAAAAAGUUGUUCCAUGUAGACAUAACUGGCAUCAGACUGGAGGUGAAGUUACCAUUUCAACAUAUGCUAAAGAUUCACAGAACUUAGUUGAGUAGAAGCAAAUAGCACAUUGUUAAAUGUGCACAUUGUAUUUGAAGGAGAGAAGGAAUUUGAUCAAAAUGUGAAAAUAUGGGGUGUGAUUGAUGUAAAGUGAAGUUAUGUAACUACGACUGCAACAAAGAUUGAGAUCACUAUGAGAAAAGCUGAGCCGAUGCAGUGGGCAAGCCUUGAACUCCCUGCAGUGAAAAAGCAGGAAAAGCAAAAAG
rnacentral:lncRNA from 1 species